AGGAGAGUUUGAUCCUGGCUCAGAACGAACGCUGGUGGCGUGUCUUAUACAUGCAAGUCGAGCGGUGUAGCAAUACAUAGCGGCGAACGGGUGAGUAACGCGUAAGCAAUCUGCCCCCUGCUCGGGAAUAGCCGUGCCAACGCGCGGGUAAUACCGGAUAUAGUGGCCCUGGACAUCCGGGGUUGACAAAAGAUUUAUCGGCAGGGGAUGAGCUUGCGUCCGAUUAGCUAGUUGGCGGGGCAACGGCCCACCAAGGCGACGAUCGGUAGCCGGCCUGAGAGGGUGAUCGGCCACAUUGGGACUGAGAUACGGCCCAGACUCCUACGGGAGGCAGCAGUAGGGAAUAUUGCACAAUGGGGGAAACCCUGAUGCAGCAACGCCACGUGUGGGAAGAAGCAUUUCGGUGUGUAAACCACUGUCGUGAGGGAAUAAGGCUAUUUUUCGGAGUAGUUGAAUGUACCUCGAGAGGAAGCACCGGCAAACUUCGUGCCAGCAGCCGCGGUAAUACGAGGGGUGCAAGCGUUGUUCGGAAUCACUGGGCGUAAAGGGAGCGCAGGCGGAAGCUCAAGCGGAUUGUACAAUACCGGGGCCCAACCCCGGACCUGCAGUCCGAACUGGGUUUCUUGGAUAGUUCAGGGGCAAGCGGAAUUCCUGGUGUAGCGGUGGAAUGCGUAGAGAUCAGGAAGAACACCGAUGGCGAAGGCAGCUUGCUGGGGACUUAUCGACGCUCAUGCUCGAAAGUGCGGGUAGCAAACAGGAUUAGAUACCCUGGUAGUCCCCU
rnacentral:rRNA from 1 species